GUAGGUGGCAAGCGUUGUCCGGAAUUAUUGGGCGUAAAGCGCGCGCAGGGCGGUCCUUUAAGUCUGAUGUGAAAGCCCACGGCUCAACCGUGGAGGGUCAUUGGAAACUGGGGGACUUGAGUACAGAAGAGGAAAGCGGAAUUCCAAGUGUAGCGGCGAAAUGCGUAGAGAUUUGGAGGAACACCAGUGGCGAAGGCGGCUUUCUGGUCUGUAACUGACGCUGAGGCGCGAAAGCGUGGGGAGCAAACAGGAUUAGAUACCCUGGUAGUCCACGCCGUAAACGAUGAGUGCUAAGUGUUAGGGGGUUUCCGCCCCUUAGUGCUGCAGCUAACGCAUUAAGCACUCCGCCUGGGGAGUACGGCCGCAAGGCUG
rnacentral:rRNA from 1 species